AUGAAAUACGAUGAGCGGUAUACACAGUACAUCGAGAGGCUAGGACUCCUUCCAUUCAUCCAACUUGUCACUCGGUCGACGCCAAACAUGAACCCUUGUGCUAUCACCGCGCUUGUUGACCGAUGGAAGCCGGAGACACACAGUUUUCACCUCCGAACCGGGGAGAUGACCGUGACUCUUCAGGAUGUUUCGAUGAUCCUUGCACUUCCCAUCGAGGGAAUUCCUGUCUGUUUUAGCACUGAUGCUGCUAACCGGCGCGAUAGGAUGUUUGACCUUAUCGGUGCGGUUCCUGCAGUGCCGGAUGACCCAACUAAAUACAGAGUCCCCGCUGGUGCGACUUAUGUUUGGAUCGCAGAACAUUUUAGCCAGUGCCCCGGCGAUGCUAGUGAGGAAAUGUUCAAACAGUAUACAUGUGCAUACUUGUGGUAUGUGAUCUCAAGGACUCUUUUUGCUGACGGUGGUGGCAGGACCGCUCCGUGGAUGUGGCUGAAGGCGUUAUCUGGUUGGGAUAGUAAACAGAGCUGGGGUUCAGCGGCACUGGCCUACUUGUACCGUCAGUUGGAUGAGGCGUGUUGUAGGCACAAAGAUGAUGCCAGCAUUGGUGGUCCGUUGGUCCUACUUUCGGUUUGGAUGUGGGAACACUUUUCAGUUGGACGGCCGAAAGUGAUCCGUUACGGCGCUUGGGACGAUCAUGAUAACCCGCUACGACAGCCUACAUGGGGGUACAAGUGGGACAAGGUUUCGGAGUUCAACGGCGACCAAAAGAGAAUGUACAUAGACUACACCAAUGAGUUUGACGCGCUAACCGCCGAGCAGGUGACAUGGCAGCCAUAUGGACCGCAGGACAAUUUCGCUUUCAUCCUCGAUUUCCAGUUGAACCCGAAAUGCACAGAGGAAUCACAUCUUUGGCAGAUGCGGUGCCCAUUGAUAUGCUUAUAUGCAGUCGAGCACCACCUUCCACAACGUGUGAUGACUCAAUUUGGGUUAUUUCAGGAUACACCACCGGAGUGGAAGGACACGAAUAUCGUGAUUCACGGCUUGGACAAAAUGAAGCAGAAGAAGAUCAAGAACUGGGAGUCAUAUCAUGAAAAGUACAUCAAGAAGUGGAAUUACUUGGUGAAGGUGGCUAAUAAUAACAGACAAGUACAUCGCCAAGUGCAUGAUGAAGCUGCAUUUUACAAAUAUCUUCAAUGGUUUCUUAGCGAGUCUCGUGUGGAGUUAUGCCCGCCGGCUUAUGAUGAGAGCAUAUUGUUGGGGAUCGUAGCAGAAUUUUAA
rnacentral:rRNA from 1 species